rnacentral:rRNA from 1 species
UACGUAGGGGGCAAGCGUUGUCCGGAAUCAUUGGGCGUAAAGCGCGUGUAGGCGGCUCGAUAAGUCUGCUGUGAAAGUCCAAGGCUCAACCUUGGGAUGCCGGUGGAUACUGUCGAGCUCGAGUCCGGAAGAGGAGUGUGGAAUUCCUGGUGUAGCGGUGAAAUGCGCAGGAUAUCAGGAGGAACACCAAUGGCGAAGGCAGCACUCUGGGAGCGUGACUGACGCUGAGACGCGAAAGCGUGGGGAGAAACAGG